CAAGUACUCCCUUCGUCCAGAAUUACUUGUCAUCAAAAUGGAUGUGUCUAGAACUAAAAUACAUCUAGAUACAUCCAUUUCAAUGACAAGUAUUUUCGGAUGGAGGGAGUACAAG
rnacentral:pre_miRNA from 1 species